rnacentral:rRNA from 1 species
GCGGGGGGGGGCUAUCUUGCAAUGUCGAGCGGUAGCACGGAGAGGUUGCUCUCGGGUGACGAGCGGCGGACGGGUGAGUAAUGUCUGGGAAACUGCCUGAUGGAGGGGGAUAACUACUGGAAACGGUAGCUAAUACCGCAUAAUGUCGCAAGACCAAAGUGGGGGACCUUCGGGCCUCAUGCCAUCAGAUGUGCCCAGAUGGGAUUAGCUAGUAGGUGGGGUAACGGCUCACCUAGGCGACGAUCCCUAGCUGGUCUGAGAGGAUGACCAGCCACACUGGAACUGAGACACGGUCCAGACUCCUACGGGAGGCAGCAGUGGGGAAUAUUGCACAAUGGGCGCAAGCCUGAUGCAGCCAUGCCGCGUGUGUGAAGAAGGCCUUCGGGUUGUAAAGCACUUUCAGCGGGGAGGAAGGCGAUAAGGUUAAUAACCUUGUCGAUUGACGUUACCCGCAGAAGAAGCACCGGCUAACUCCGUGCCAGCAGCCGCGGUAAUACGGAGGGUGCAAGCGUUAAUCGGAAUUACUGGGCGUAAAGCGCACGCAGGCGGUCUGUCAAGUCGGAUGUGAAAUCCCCGGGCUCAACCUGGGAACUGCAUUCGAAACUGGCAGGCUAGAGUCUUGUAGAGGGGGGUAGAAUUCCAGGUGUAGCGGUGAAAUGCGUAGAGAUCUGGAGGAAUACCGGUGGCGAAGGCGGCCCCCUGGACAAAGACUGACGCUCAGUGCGAAAGCGUGGGGAGCAAACAGGAUUAGAAACCCU